rnacentral:tRNA from 1 species
CCCAGCCGAGGGCGGCGAGGAUCGCGCGGUCGUGUUUGUCGAACGCGGCGGGGUCGGCGCGCUCGAUCAGAUCGGGGCGGUUGAGG